GGGUGCCGGCCCGUGCGACGGCAGCCUGGAGAUGGCCCGGCGGCGUCGGGGAAGGAAGAGGGCCGGGGCACCAGCGGCGCGGCAGGAGGCGACACGGCGGCGCUCGGCGCUUGGCGCCGCGGCCUGGCCGGUGACCGAUCGCGAUGGCGCGGCCUGAGAGGCGGCGCGCGUGGAGGUGGCCACGCGAGGAGGCGGCGCUCCACACGGCGCGGCGGCGUCCCCGUGCCGGUGAAGACGGCGACGGCGACAACUUCGGCAACGGGGUUGGAGGUGGCGCCCGCGCUCGAAGGUGGCACUCGUGCGUUCGGCUUGGCCGGGCGCGAGGAUGGCACUCGCGCGGGGCCGAUCUGGCCGUGCGUGGUGGCGGCCGAGACGGGGCGAGGAGGUGAAGCCGACGAGCUGCUCCGAAGGGCGGCGCCGAGGCAGUGGCGGCGGUGGGUGUUGGCCCAGGAGAGGAGCAGAGGUGGCGAUGAUUGGAGGGGGCGAAUGGUGGGGGAUAGCGGGCAUGGCCACGGAGAAGGAUCGACACAGUGGUGGAAGGGUGAUGUGGCGCGCGUCCAUAGGUUGGACGGCGGCGGCGCGGGCCCGGGUGUCGUCAUCGACACAGUGGAGGGGAGGUGCGAGGCUGGCGGCGUGAACGCAGCUCACGCGGACGCUCGUCUGCGGCCGAUGGAGAGCGAGGAUGCAAGGCGUGGACGAGGAGUAGCGACGCUCACGCGGGCGACGUCCUGGGAGGCGGCGAAGUGA
rnacentral:lncRNA from 1 species